UACGGAAGGCAGCAGUGGGGAAUAUUGCACAAUGGGCGCAAGCCUGAUGCAGCCAUGCCGCGUGUAUGAAGAAGGCCCUUCGGGUUGUAAAGUACUUUCUAGUCGUGAGGAAGGUGUUAAGGUUAAUAACCUUAGCAAUUGACGUUAGCGACAGAAGAAGCACCGGCUAACUCCGUGCCAGCAGCCGCGGUAAUACGGAGGGUGCGAGCGUUAAUCGGAAUUACUGGGCGUAAAGGGCACGCAGGCGGUUAAUUAAGUUGGAUGUGAAAUCCCCGGGCUUAACCUGGGAAUGGCAUUCAAGACUGGUUAGCUAGAGUCUUGUAGAGGGGGUAGAAUUCCAUGUGUAGCGGUGAAAUGCGUAGAGAUGUGGAGGAAUACCGGUGGCGAAGGCGGCCCCUGGACAAAGACUGACGCUCAUGUGCGAAAGCGUGGGGAGCAAACAGGGAUUAGAU
rnacentral:rRNA from 1 species